CUCUUAUUUUUAGUUCCCCAAAGUAAUAAUAUGUGGUUCAGCAAAUACAGACACAAUUCUAGAAGAAUUUCUCUUAUGAGAAUAAGAAACCCUUGGUUGUUUCAUUUGAUUUUUCUUCAUGGUCUUUCAAGUUCAGUUCUUUACAUCUUCUCGGCUGGGCUGUUCUAAUUUCAGAUUUUCUGAUGGAGCUUACUCCAAGUGUUAGUUGAGAACUCCGAUGGAGCUUACUUUAAGUCUCGGUUGGAAACUCUGAUUGUAUGCAUUCACACGGUCAUUUGAUAAUGAAGUAUUUGCAGUUACAUGAAAGAAGAAUAUCAGGGUGAGAAUAUCAUGCAUGCCUAUCAUUUCCUUGAAAUUGACUUCUAAGGCAUGUACCAAGUUUUUACAACCAGUAUGAAUGGAUCUUUGACUUUUAUUAUUUUAAGCUAUUGCGAAUUUACUUGUACGCAAACAGUUGUGGAAAAAAAGAAUCUACCUAAUAAUCCUUUGUGACUUUCACCUCUUAUUUGUGAGACUGACAAUUUCUUUUAAUUUAAAUAGAUUGUAGAAAAGCAGUGCAAUAUACCUUCUUAUUACUAAUGCACACCUUUGAAGAAAAUAAUACUUCUCAUUUUCUUUUUAAUAUAUGUGUUUGUAUACCACCAUUUAGAACUAUAUUGUGUGUCGCUAUUAUGAGACAGAUAGUUUUGUGACUGUCAAUGAUUCUCCAUGUAAUUGAGGUUAGUUGUUGAACUACAAAGAGCUGGCUUGGUUUGUCGUUUCAAAUAUUUUUGGGUAGUUUAGAAGACAACAUUUGUGACAAGGCUCAACUGGAGAGCAAUGUCUUAUUGUCGAGUCACUGAGAAGAAGCCUGCCAGAUUAUUGUGCUUCAACUACUUUAUUCCGUUCGACCUGUUCGUUUUUUGGCACUAAGAUUCAAAUAGCAUUUUGGUCAUCUAAUAUAGUUGAUGUAGCAUAUCAGGGUUAGCUAAUUCAACGUGGCCUCCACUCCUACAGCCACUGCAUAGUUUAAUUCCACUGCACGGGGUUCUACAUUUUUAUUUGCUUUAGAUACUUUCCCCAAUUCUAUACUUUUUGUUCUUAUCCUUCUACUCAGAUUGAUACAAUCUCCAGGUUAGCUAUUCAUCUUUCUAGCCAGAUCUUGUGAAAUAUUCUUUUCUCUCUCUUACUGUUAAUUCUCUAAUAUAGGGUUUUAUUCGUUUCUAAGGUUAUGCUUUGUUCUUUGGUUUUUCGUUGUAGGUUGUCCGAUACACUUCUAGAUUUUGAUUGUUAUCUUCCAGUUUCCUAUUCAAAUAGAGAAAAUCCUCAGAUUGUUCCUGCAGAAUGACCUACCAACUAUCCCAUCAAAAGUUUGUUGCAGUUGAUAUGUCUUUUGGAGGAAGAGAGAAGACAAAUCAAACUCCAGCUAACGCAACAAGAAGUUCUCGGUUGUUCAGAUCUCAAAAAGACGCGAGCUCGGAUGGGAGCUAACAGAGAAACAGAGAGGUAGGCAUAACUGAAAUGGAAAAUCAAGUCGUAUCUACAGGUAACAACUUUUAGCUGUGUCAGAAAUCCAGGACUCAUGGUCAGUGGGUUUUUGGAUCAACUCCAGCAGGUUUUCUCAAGUUUCCACUUUUGAUAUGAUAUGUCUCAUCCUUAAAUUAUUGUAGAAUGACUUCAGGAUGUAGCUUCUCCGGGAUAGUCGGGAUAAACAAGCAUGCAAGGAAUAGUUAGAAGGGAGCAAAUUUUUCUAUGCUUGAACUCACAUGUUAUGAAAUUGCUUCUUUUGUUUCUAUAUGUUAAAUUGGCUAUUUAGUGAUGAGACCGUGCUUCACUUCUGUGCCUGUAUAUUACUAGGCUUUCUCUUCAAGGAUUUAUUGUUAUUUACACGACUCACUUAUACAUCUCAGGUAGAUGUGUUAAAAUUUAACACGCUGGCGCAUGUCUCAAUCCUAUUUUGUUGGAGUAAUAUGAAAAUGGCACUCUUUUGGAGAAGGCGCGUAUGAACAAGCCGACACAAAUGUCAUUUGUACGGUUAUCUUAGGGAAUGUGAUUUGAAAAUGGGAGCAAAAUUCAUUAUUCUUAAAUUCAUAGAUUGUGAAAAUUGUAUUAUAUACUCGGAUGUAAUAUGUAGUCUUCUAUGUCAUACUCUAAAAAUUAGAAUUGUGCUUAUGUGUGUGGUAUUACGGUUGUUCUGAAACAUUUACUGCUGUUUAGACUUAGAUUUCAA